CACGUAAAUCUGGCAGAAGACCUCUCCUCCACCCUGGCCACUGACUUAAAAAGCCAAAACAAAACAGAAACCCACUUUCUGCCAGCUUGAAUCUGCUUCACAGAGGACCUUAUGAAGGCAAGGGAGGACACAGAACUAUGAAGUGGCCUCUAAAGCUCUUUACCUCAAAGAGGUUCCUACAGCUUGCUCUUGGUGCAAACGGAAGUGUUCAGCCCUUCAUGGAAUCAAUGGAGUCUAACAACUUUAUCAUAUAAAUAUCCUUAAAAAGAUUCUGGGAUGUUCAUUGAUUGAUGACACAAUAUGGUCAGUUGUCCAUUUGCUCUGUAUUCUGUGUACAGUGAAUCAUGUUACUUCCUAAUCCCAUGCUCCUCUUCAGAGAAGCCUGUGCAGAUCUCUGGGGAAAUACCUAUUCAGACCCUGUUGCUUCAAUCCACCUCUGUAAUCAACCACCACACCUUUAAGAUGAAUCGGGAUGGAAUGUAAUCAAAGUCUUAGAAAAACAGAAAAAUACCCAUAUGGAAUUCUAACAAAUUGGUAUGUUAGACAGCUCAUGUGCACUAAUACAUGUUUUAGCUCAAAAAAAGUUAUGUAAUAUAGGAAGGAAAAACUGUAUUUUGUUCAUGAUUAUGCUUAUUAAAAACAUGCUUGAAUUUGGGGGUGGGGAGGAGUUGUUUGGUUUGUUUUAAACUGAGCUGCUUGCAACAGCAGAAUCUAUAUUUCUAGAUGGGAACAGUGCUAGUACUCCUACAACUUUAAAAAGUUAUGGGGCAUAUUUGCACUGGGAAGGAACUGUCAUCUCCCUAUCUUGAAGAUAAGUCAUGUGGACAAAUGUACUUGAUCAAAAAUGGGAAAUAAAAUAUCUCCAAACAAAGAUGAAAUUCAAAGAAACCAUCAUCAAAUACAAACCAGAAGUAAUCUCAGAUCUAUGUAUUAAAGUUGAGCCAAUUCACGAACUUAAAAGGAUUGGAAUUAUAUUCAUGUUAUUUCUGAGAGUUACAUUUUCCUGGUUUACACCAGAACAUCAAGAAGGACAUUGCAUACUGAUAAAUUUAGUAGCAUCUUAUUCAAUAACUAGAACUACAUUGAAGCUUAUGUUUCCAAGAAGCAUUUACAAGGAGAUAACUGCUAAAAAUUCUGCCCAGUGUGUGGAACAGGCUAUUUGGGUUUUUCAGUAAGGAAAAUAAAGAAAUAUAAGAAAAGACCUGAAAGUCAAGACAACCAUUUUCCCAGUUGAUUUUGCUUUUUUCACCUGAGUAAGGUUUGACAGUCACCGGGAAUAAAGUACAGCAUUUUUUGUGGUCCCAUUCAGAAAGCCAUCUUCAGUGGCUGAGCUACUCCAGCAGUGGCCCUUUUUCCACUCAAGCAGGAGUUGUGUAGCUUUGCCUUGCUCACAGGAUGUGGCAGGACUCGCUGCAGCCUUUGGCCGAGUGAGCAAGCCCUGCCUUGCAGAGCAGCAGAGACUCCUGCCCUCCAUGUCCCUGCCAGUCACCAGCCUGUCUGCAAAUACAUCAGCAAGUAUACUUCCAUUUCAAAGCCAUGUUUGGCACUGAAAAUCCUUGAAUUUCAGUUGUGGUAGUUAAUUGUUGGGGCAAAUUAACUCGCUGUUUGGAACAAAUGAUGUUCCAGCCCCUCUGGAAACAACAUCAUGUAACACUGGUGUUUGGGUAAAUUCAGGACUCCAAGUUGAAGCUCUGUGUGGCUCUAGGUAACUUCUGAGAAUAAGGAUUUCUUAGUUCUUUAUCUUUCUAAAAAAAAAUUAUUUGCCUACAUUAGAAAACAGAAAAUCUACCAGGAAGAUAGACAGUUUUCUGGUUUGAAAGCCUGUUGGAAAAGUAAAACUAGUUUGUUUUGCCUUAUCAUCUGGAUGAAGAAAUAAAUCAUGUAAUGCCUUUAAGAAAAAUAAUCACACUUUAUUCUUCCCCAAAUGGUAAUACUGGUGCACAGAAAUGAGGAAGGCUGUAUUGCACAUGCUCUCUCCUGAUAGUACAUUUGCUUUAUUCUAAUUUCCAUGUAAAAGGAAUUACUUGCAUGUUAAUAAUAAGAAGAAAAACCAGGACCUUCCACCUUUAGAUAAUCUAAUGCCAAAAGCACUGCCACAACAACCUUCCUGACGUUAUUUAUGUAGGGAAGGGAGACAAUCAACAUCUAUUAUGUUGUUUUCUUCAUCAGCCCCCACCCCAGGCAUGCUGAGGUUUAGUGCCAGAGACACAGACGACAGCAUUUGGCUGCAUUCUUACACAGAGGUGAGAAAGUCCCAACCAAAGCCAGCACAGUGAAAAAAGGGGUAAUUUGUUACAAAUAUGAAAUAGAUGGUAUUGACAAUCUGACAGGACAAAUCCUUGUUUGCAGUGGAAAUGACUUGCAGUUAGCAGAUAAGGUCAGACAGAGGAUGUUCUAUAUCCAAGUCAUCAUCAGCUACAAAAAAAGUUACUACUUUCCCCCUGGGCAGUUGGUCUUGUCACUCACACCUGUCUUUACCAUUUUUUCCUGAUACAAACCUGACUUUUUUUUUCUUGAAGCCUGUAUGCUAACUAUACAGCUGUGUAUCCCAGGCAAAGAAUGUCAAGGGGGAAAUACAGGCUUCCAUUUCUAAACCAACAUUUAAAUACUUAAACAAAGCAGCCAGUUCCCUAGUUUGCUCAUAAGGCAUUCUGGUAAUUAAAUAUCUUAUUCUUGACUAUUCACAGACAUUUUGCCAAGGAAGGUUCUACAUUAAAAUCUAGAAUACUUAUAUAUUACCCUCUAGAGUUUAUUCUUGGUUUACUUUUAUGCUUUUCCAGAAUCAUGCCAUCCAUCACGAAUUUACUACAGGCCACCAAUCCCAGGUGAAAGUCAGGCUGUGUUACACUGAGUAGGGAAGACAACUGCUUGUGUUAUGCACAGCCCAAGGAUAUUCCUCUCAGAGGAGGCAUGGAAAAAGGUCAUGGAUUUCUUGGCAAUAAUUUCUUAGAAAAAGACAUGAAGUUCUGUUGCUCCUUUUCAGCUUUGAAUUGUUUGGCUAAAGCAUCGUGGUAGUAUUCGAACCUCUCUAGUAUCACUUGAGAUGAUCCACUCUGGAUCUGCAGUAAAAUGCCAUAACCUCUUUGGGUAUAUAACAACCCAACUCUCUGUAUUAAUUACAUUAAAAUGGCACUCUUUUUACUCUACUCUUACCAAACCUAUCACCUGAUUCAUGUAAAGGAAACAUUUCUAUAUCUUUUAAUUCCAGUUAUACGCUGAAGAGUGAAACAUGGCAGAAUUUUAACUCAGUCUACCUUUUUUUUCUUCCUGAAAGCAUCAAUGAGCAUCCAGAGAAUGCAGGGAGACAGUGAAAGUUCUUACUGUACCUUUAAUCUACUGUAAGAAUCCUUUUCUUAUUAAUAAUACAUGUGAAAGAAUGAGCUUCAAUGGACUGACUGGUUCCAGGUGCUCUAACUGUAUACCUCAAAUGAUAACAAUGAAAGCAGAGUUUUUAGGGAUAGGAGUAAGAAAAUAAUGUAUUUAAUAUGUACUUUUAGAAAUAACUUUAUAUCCAUUCAUUUUAUGGGCACUAAUCUAACCGCACAUUUUUACUAAUCUAGCAUUCUGUCAAGGCAUCCCUGUUGUGCCUUUGUCAAGCAGAAUUUUAAUAAAAUGCCUGAGUAAAAAGUAGAACACACUAAGGAAGAAAUCUAGCCAUACAAAGAAAAAAAUUGCACAUCAUAAUGUAUGAAGUAUAUAACCUUUUGCACUGUGAAACAAAAAGAAAGCUCAGUGAUUUUCCAUUGUACUCACUUGGCACUCAACCCUCAUCUGUGGGAUCCUCAUCUGUGUCACUUCCUAGAAUAGUGAAUUCAAAUAAAUUCAUUUUCAGUUAUUAUUGUUUGCCGUGCUCUCUCUCAUUCUACUUGUUUAUUGUUACUGACUUUUGUGAGCCUCUCAUGAGUUUUGGUGAAAAAGUCAAUGUAUAUUCAGCCUUCUAAUCUUCUGAAAUAGGGAAUAGAUUACUAGAAAGAAUGGGAAGAUUAUCAAAUAUAUAUUGACAUUGUUGGAAAUUUCUUUGUUCUGAGUUAUGUCCUAUUAUCAACUGAA